rnacentral:lncRNA from 1 species
GUCUAUCUGUUUCUUGGGUUAUGUUGUGACCAAGAAUUGUAUCAUGGCCAAUACGGUCAAGAUUAUCGUGGUUUGUGAUUAGGAUAGGCCUACUUGUCCUAUAGAGAUUUGGAGUUUUUCAUCUGUUGUGGCUCCUGACCAAGUUGACUUAGAUGAAGAUUUAUUUUCAGUUGCCUGAUGUUUGUGAUGCAAGAUUUCAAAAGCUCAAGGAUUU